UCAGUGAAGUACCUGGAAUGUUCUGCACUCACCCAGCGAGGCCUGAAGACAGUCUUUGAUGAGGCCAUCCGGGCUGUCCUGUGCCCACAGCCCACACGACAGCAGAAGCGUCCUUGCAGCCUGCUCUAGGGGUCUCACCCCAGUCCUCCCACCCUGACCCUUCAGGAUCCCUACCAAAGCCCAAUGAUGCGCUGACAGAACAUGUCAUCCCCUCCUUGUGGUGUUUUUCCCAGACAGCUGCAGAACUUGCCUAUGUCCUCAGUGGAGGUCCCCUGGGGAUGGGAGGUUGUUGACAGGCCACAUCCUAUCUGGGAUACUUUUGUGCUCUUAGGGACCAGAGGGGAGCCCCAGGACUCAGCCAACCAUCCUCAUGUCAUACAGUGUCAUACACCCACCUUCGCCAGGCCUUCCCGACUCCCUCUUGAAGUUUCCGGUUUCCAUGGCCUGCCACCGCUAUGUGUCUGAAAGGACAGGCUGUCUUGCUCCUAUACCCCGGUUCACCUUGUUGGAGUCAUCUCCCUCCCCAAACCAAAGGGAGAGACGUGUGAGUCUGCUUCUCUGGUCUCAUUUUUCAGAAAAACACAGAACAAAUCCAUUUCUGUAAAUUUCUUGACUUCCCAGCCAAAGGAGGGGCUCAGCCCACCCCUACCAUCUUUCAAGACUUCCUACUUUAUUCAAAGGGUCCUGAGCUGUAUUAUCUUGACUGUCCACCUCACCCUGCCAGCCAGGACCAGAACCACUGCAGACAGAAAACACAGCUCUCUUGCUUAUGCAGAAAAUAAAUGUAUGAUUCAAGUUGGAACCA